GGGCAAAUCUCAGCAAAUUUGACAUUUACGUAAUAUGAUAUUUUUAAAAGUAUUUUUAAGUGGGUGUAUUAAAUAUUUAUGAUAUUCGCAAAGUAAUGCAAAAUUCUUCCUUGCCGACGGUCUGCUUUCCAGUCAUAGUAAAAAAGCAAUACGAAUUCAAACUUUUUUUUAAAUAAAUACGCUCAACUUGUGCAUACAUUCUAAUUGAUUCUGUUUAAUAAACAAGAGGCUCACAAUUGUUGACUUUGAGCAGGCGAUUCGACUGUCUGCUUGGCAUCCAGUGUCUGCCAGCAACUAUGCAACUUGUCGUAGACGCUUGUCGGCGCAUCUAACUGCAUGUAGAAGUGCAAUUUAGCUGCUUGUCAAACUGAUAACUCACAUAGUGUGGCAAGCAAAUGUAAAUGAAGCAAUUGGCAGCCGAAACCAGCAAAUGACCAAACACGAAACGCCAAUUAAUUAAGCUGUGAGCUAAGGAGUUAACUUGUCUGGUGUCUAGAGCGGACACUGCCGCAGGCAGACACAUUCUUGGGCAAUCAAACUUAAAGCACGAUUGCAAAAGGAUCCUCCAGCAGCAGCAAUAACAAAAAACACAAAAAAAAAACCGGCAGCCACUGCAACGCAAGUGACAUCAAACACGACGGUACUGGGCACUAGCAAAAGUGAAUGGCUGCCAAAGCAAUUAAAAGUCGUUGGCGUUAAAGACCCUUGCCGUAGACCAAAACAAAAACCCCUGAAAAACAACAUGAAAAUAAUUAAAAAUCAUAUGCUAAAGAAAUAACUAACAUGAAAGAACAGCUGCUAUUUGUCAGAUGCCGACGAACAAGUACACUUGCCAAGUCCACCCUCGAGUAUGGAAAAUUGGUGGAAAACGUUUGUUUGUUAUCGAUUGCAAAACAAUCGACUUGUGGCUGUGGGCUAGAAAUGUUAUUAAAUGUUCACGAUUGGCAAAGGGCUGGAAGUCAUGUCUGUCAUGUCAUGACAGGAAAGAAUUUUGGCUCGGACAAAGCCGGGUAAUACUUUAUGUAAGCUGUGCCGCAAUUUUAUAUUGUCCAAGGAAAGAGUAUAAAAAUAAAUUAAGAACCUGUUAGCUGGGCCGAGGCACUUGUACAAUAUGAAAUAUUGAACAUGCAAAUUUGCUCACAAUGGCGAAAAAUUAUUUAUUCAAUUACCAAUUUGCAAUUACCGAACAGCUGCUGACGCCGCACAGUGGCACCAAAAUCACUUUAA